rnacentral:rRNA from 1 species
AGUGAACGCUGGCGGUAGGCCUAACACAUGCAAGUCGAACGGCAGCACAGUAAGAGCUUGCUCUUACGGGUGGCGAGUGGCGGACGGGUGAGGAAUACAUCGGAAUCUACUUUUUCGUGGGGGAUAACGUAGGGAAACUUACGCUAAUACCGCAUACGACCUACGGGUGAAAGCAGGGGAUCUUCGGACCUUGCGCGAUUGAAUGAGCCGAUGUCGGAUUAGCUAGUUGGCGGGGUAAAGGCCCACCAAGGCGACGAUCCGUAGCUGGUCUGAGAGGAUGGUAGGCCACACUGGAACUGGGACACGGUCCAGACUCCUACGGGAGGCAGCAGUGGGGAAUAUUGGACAAUGGGCGCAAGCCUGAACCAGCCAUACCGAGUGGGUGAAGAAGGCCUUCGGGUUGUAAAGCCCUUUUGUUGGGAAAGAAAAGCAGCAGGUUAAUACCCCGCUGUUCUGACGGUACCCAAAGAAUAAGCACCGGCUAACUUCGUG